UCUAGAACUCGAGAUAUGGGCUGAACACUGAACAGUGUUUGGGCUGCAGGACAGAUUCGGACUUCUUCUUUGUUGCUACAAUUUGGACUUGAAAACGGCCUUAUUAAAUCUUGGACUCCUCAUGAAAGUUGUAGGCCUAUGUCUUAGCUUUUCAUC
rnacentral:pre_miRNA from 1 species